UGAGUACGAGCUGCUACGGCAGCGAAGUGGGUGAUGUCAAGCUUCCAAGAAAAGCCCUAUACCCGUUAAGGCAUGAUGGCCUGUACCCGAAACCGACACAGGUGGGGUGGUAGAGAAUACCGAGGGGCGCGAGAUAACUCUCUCUAAGGAACUCGGCAAAAUGGCCCCGUAACUUCGGGAGAAGGGGUGCCACCGCAAGGUGGUCGCAGUGAAGAGGCCCAGGCGACUGUUUACCAAAAACACAGGUCUCCGCUAAGUCGCAAGACGAUGUAUGGGGGCUGACGCCUGCCCAGUGCCGGAAGGUUAAGGAAGCUGGUCAGCGCAAGCGAAGCUAGCGACUGAAGCCCCGGUGAACGGCGGCCGUAACUAUAACGGUCCUAAGGUAGCGAAAUUCCUUGUCGGGUAAGUUCCGACCCGCACGAAAGGCGUAACGAUCUGGGCGCUGUCUCGGAGAGAGGCUCGGCGAGAUAGAAUUGUCUGUGAAGAUGCGGACUACGUGCACCCGGACAGAAAGACCCUAUGAAGCUUUACUGUAGCUUGGUAUUGUGCCCGGGCUCUGAAUGCGCAGGAUAGGUGGGAGGCUUUGAUCCAUUGCUUGUGGGUAAUGGUGAGCCAACGGUGAGAUACCACUCUUUCAGAGCUAGGGUUCUAACCCUCACCCGUUAUCCGGGGAGGGGACAGUAUCAGGUGGGCAGUUUGACUGGGGCGGUCGCCUCCUAAAAGGUAACGGAGGCGCGCAAAGGUUUGCUCAGGCUGGUUGGAAAUCAGCCGACGAGUGUAAAAGCAGAAGCAAGCUUGACUGUGAGACCAACAAGUCGAACAGGGACGAAAGUCGGCUUUAGUGAUCCGACGGUUCUGAGUGGAAGGGCCGUCGCUCAACGGAUAAAAGUUACUCUAAGGAUAACAGGCUGAUCUCCCCCAAGAGUUCACAUCGACGGGGAGGUUUGGCACCUCGAUGUCGGCUCAUCGCAACCUGGGGCUGAAGUCGGUCCCAGGGGUUGGGCUGUUCGCCCAUUAAAGCGGUACGCGAGCUGGGUUCAGAACGUCGUGAGACAGUUCGGUCCAUAUCCGGUGCAUGCGUAAGAACAUUGACAGGAGCUCUCCCUAGUACGAGAGGACCGGGAGGAACGCACCUCUGGUGUACCAGUUAUCGUGCCAACGGUAAACGCUGGGUAGCCAUGUGCGGAGAGGAUAACCGCUGAAAGCAUCUAAGUGGGAAGCCCACCUGAAGAUGAGUGUUCUCAUGGCUUAAGCCAGUAAGGUCACGGGAAGAACACCCGUUGAUAGGCUCUACGUGGAAGCGCAGCAAUGCGUGAAGCGGAGGAGUACUAAUAGACCGAGGGCUUGA
rnacentral:rRNA from 1 species